AAAAUUGGUGUGAAAAUAGCUUAAUUUUUUAGUAAAAAGCAUAAAAACAUACCAAGUUGAUGGGAGAAAAAAAUGGGUGGUAUGAGUUUGGUUUUAUGAGGUGAUAAGGUUGAUGAAAACCACAAGAUUGUCGAACCCGUUCUUUCCAUGAAACCGGCGUCAUUUUCCACCUAAUGAGCUUUCGCUUUUGGAGAUUCUAUCACCUUAAGAUUUUGUGAAAGAAAUUAGGGCAAGCAGUCUCUCCUAAGCACUUUGAAGUUUGAAGUCAAAUUCUACAAAAUCACAAGUAUCUUCUGUUGAUUUCCGGUGCCCUCUAAGGAGAGUCCAAGUUCAGUUUCUAACCAACAUGGGAAAUAAAAACUGGGAGUGGUAGCUGAAUAGAAAAGACAACGGCGAUGGACUUUAGCAGGCGAGAGAUCAGUAUCACGUUGCAAAAGGAAAGGGGUGGUGGAGCUUUGUGAGGUUGUGGGAUUUUGUAAUUCAUUUCUAGGGAAAUAAAAUUCUUGUAGUCUAUGAAAAGACAGAGACUUAGGC
rnacentral:lncRNA from 1 species